rnacentral:miRNA from 1 species
GGACAGAGUCUGCUGCCAGCUGUAGAACUGCUUUUAAUUAAAACUUUGUUCAAUAUGCUCACAGCAGAGUUUCCUCAUUU